rnacentral:rRNA from 1 species
UACGUAGGGACCAAGCGUUGUUCGGAUUUACUGGGCGUCAAGGGCGCGUAGGCGGCGUGUUAAGUCACUUGUGAAAUCUCUAAGCUUAACUUAGAACGGUCAAGUGAUACUGAUGUGCUAGAGUGCAGAAGGGGCAACCGGAAUUCUUGGUGUAGCGGUGAAAUGCGUAGAUAUCAAGAGGAACACCUGAGGUGAAGACGGGUUGCUGGGCUGACACUGACGCUGAGGCGCGAAAGCUAGGGUAGCAAACGGG